ACAUUGAAACACCGGUUCCCAUACGAUCACCGAAGUUAAGCAAUGUCGAGCCUUGUCAGUACAUCGAUGUGUGACCGCUUGUGAAUGCCAGGUGCUGUAAG